GGGGCUGUGACUUCAACAUUGCUCUUUCAAGACCUUAGCUCUGUUUGAAUUGCUUUUAUAUAAAUGUUCUGUAUAGCGUGAACAAAGUUACUGCUUCCCCGGUUUUUAUUUCUCGUGAGCGACUAAAACCAGUUAAAAACCGCUCCCUGGAUCUGUCGGGCUGGAGUCAGCGCUCCGGCUCUUCCGGGGCUGCCCGCGGGAGGCGGGGGGUGCGCGGACACGAGUGUCCCCUGUGGCAAGGUCAAGCCCGACAGCGGGGCGCUCGGCCCGCGGCUGCCCUGGCCGUCGGUGGCGUUUCGGGGCACCCUCCGCGCCGCGCGGGGCGAUCGGUCUUCGCAUCGCCCCGACCGACGCCGGGGUCCGCGCUGCCCGCGCCGCCCGACACAGUCAUGUUCCGCGGGAGAGAACGCGGAGCGGUGCGGACGCCGCCCGCCCCGGGGUUCCCCUCGCCGACGGGCAGAGUCCGGGGCUGGCGCCGCGGCGCGGGGGAGCGGCCGGGCCCCGCAGCGGCGCGGAGCGGAGCGGGACGCGCGGCGGCGGCGCAGGAGAGCCCAGCCGGGGCCGCCGGUAUUUAGGGCGGGCGCUGCCGGAGCCGGGCGGGAGCGGGACGGCGGGGACGGCGGACACUUUGAACUGAAAAAAUACCCACAGCCCAUGGCCAAGGGCAACAUGUGA
rnacentral:lncRNA from 1 species